GAUGAACGCUGACAGAAUGCUUAACACAUGCAAGUCAAGUGGCGGACGGGUGAGUAACGCGUAAAGAACUUGCCUCACAGAUAGGGACAACAUUUGGAAACGAAUGCUAAUACCUGAUACUGUGAGAGAGCUUUGCGUCCCAUUAGCUAGUGGGAGAGGUAACGGCUCACCAAGGCGAGGAGGGGUAGCAGGCCUGAGAGGGUGAUCGGCCACAAGGGGACUGAGCACCGGCCCAGACUCCUACGGGAGGCAGCAGUGGGGAAUUUUGGACAAUGGGCGCAGCCUGAUCCAGCAAUGCCGCGUGUCGGAAGAAGGCUUCGGGUUGUAAAGGACUUUUGUUAGGGAAGCUACGACUAAAGAAUAAGCACCGGCUAACUACGUGCCAGCAGCCGCGGUAAUUC
rnacentral:rRNA from 1 species